rnacentral:rRNA from 1 species
GGGGCACGGAAACGGGGAAUAGCUCAAAUUUGAAAUCUCCGACGCUUGCGUCGGCGAGUUGUAGUUGCGAGAAGCACUUUCUCGGCGGAUCGACGGCGCCCAAGUUGCUUGGAACAGUACGUCGCAGAGGGUGACAACCCCGUCCGUGGCGUCGCCGGCCGCUCACGAUGUGCUUUCGAAGAGUCGGGUUGUUUGGGAAUGCAGCCCAAAACGGGUGGUAAACUCCAUCUAAAGCUAAAUAUGGACGUGAGACCGAUAGCGAACAAGUACCGUGAGGGAAAGAUGAAAAGAACUUUGAAAAGAGAGUUAAAAAGUACGUGAAACCGUUGGAAGGGAAACGAAUGGACUCAGCAAUGCGCCGUCUUUUGAGAUUCAGCCGCGCGGGCCGGCUCGGCUGGGGACUUGCGGAUCCGAACGGACCGCGGUUCCUCGCUCGUGUCGGCCCGCCGUCGCACUUCUCUUGGGCGCAAGUCAACGUCGGUUGGGUCUGGGUCUGAAAGGUUCCGGGAAGGUGAGUCGGGCAGCCCGGUUCUCUGUCUCGCGGCUCGGACUCGACCGAGGUGGUCGCAGCGCAUGCCUCUUUUGGCUAGGGUCCCGUCUCCUCCGGCCGGUCGUCGACCGCGGUGGACUGCUUGCAGUGCUCCGCAACCGCUGCCGGUCGUUGGGGCGGUGAUCUCCCUACAUGCGCCU